rnacentral:rRNA from 1 species
AAUCGAAGCAGUGAACUUAAGCCCCAGUAAACGGCGGCCGUAACUAUAACGGUCCUAAGGUAGCGAAAUUCCUUGUCGGGUAAGUUCCGACCCGCACGAAAGGCGUAACGAUUUGGGCACUGUCUCAACAACAGACUCGGUGAAAUUGUAAUUCCGGUGAAGAUGCCGGAUACCUGCGACAGGACGGAAAGACCCCAUGGAGCUUUACUGUAGCUUGACAUUGGGUCUUGGUACUACAUGUACAGGAUAGGUGGGAGGCUUUGAAACCAGGACGCCAGUUUUGGCGGAGCCAUCCUUGGGAUACCACCCUUGUAGUACUGGGACUCUAACCAUAGGCCAUGAAUCUGGUCUUGGGACACUGUCAGGUGGGCAGUUUGACUGGGGCCGUCGCCUCCCAAAAGGUAACGGAGGCGCUCAAAGGGUCGCUCAGUACGGUCGGAAAUCGUACGUAGGUGGUAAAGGCAAAAGAGGGCUUGAUUGCAAGACAUACAGGUCGAGCAAGGAUGAAAAUCGGACUGAGUGAUCCGGUGGUUCUGCGUGGAAGGGCCAUCGCUCAACGGAUAAAAGCUACCCUGGGGAUAACAGGCUUAUCUCCCCCAAGAGUCCACAUCGACGGGGAGGUUUGGCACCUCGAUGUCGGCUCAUCACAUCCUGGGGCUGUAGUAGGUCCCAAGGGUUGGGC